rnacentral:rRNA from 1 species
CCUACGGGUGGCAGCAGUGAGGAAUAUUGGUCAAUGGGCUUACGCCUGAACCAGCCAAGUCGCGUGAGGGAAGACUGCCCUAUGGGUUGUAAACCUCUUUUGUCAGGGAGCAAUUGGCGCUACGUGUAGCGUUAUCGAGAGUACCUGAAGAAAAAGCAUCGGCUAACUCCGUGCCAGCAGCCGCGGUAAUACGGAGGAUGCGAGCGUUAUCCGGAUUGAUUGGGUUUAAAGGGGGCGUAGGCGGAAUGCCAAGUCAGCGGUAAAAUCGCGGGGCUCAACCUCGCUCCGCCGUUGAAACUGGCGUUCUUGAGUGGGCGAGAAGUAUGCGGAAUGCGUGGUGUAGCGGUGAAAUGCAUAGAUAUCACGCAGAACUCCGAUUGCGAAGGCAGCAUACCGGCGCCCAACUGACGCUGAAGCACGAAAGCGUGGGUAGCGAACAGGAUUAGAUACCCCAGUAGUC